UGAGGUAUGUCAGACCAUCUAUAUGAUCAACAACAAGAAGGAAGCGUUCAGCUUUGCUUUCAGAGAAAGCUCUCUCUUUUCAGAGGGAUGCAACACCUCUGUGAAAGUAGAGCCCCUGGCAAGCUCCAUCGCUCCUCUGUCAAGGUUUCCCAUUAGAGUCACCUUCGUACCAACACUAGAAGGAGAGAAGGAGAGGUGGUCUUCGACCUCAAGUGCAAUGUCGAGGGGAAGAUCCAGCCCCUCUCCUUGAAUAUCAAAGCCACCAGCUAUGGCCUGAACGUGUCUGUCGGGUGCAAGGACAGUGACGGCUGUGCCGCUGAGCUCUGUGCACAAGAGAUCAACGUCAUUGAUUUCAAGGAGGUACAGCUGAACGAGAACAUCAAGCACAUCUUCAGCAUCCACAAUAAUGGCAAGUUCAGCUUCACCUUCUCGUGGGAGCUGAGCGGCCCUGCAGCCAAUAAGCAGGUCCUUACCAUUGCCCCUCAGAUGAGCACUGUGCAGGCGGAGGGGAAAGCAGAGACCCAGCUGGUUUUUCACCUGCGGAAGAUGUGCUCUUUAAAGGACACAAAGCUGACACUGCAGAUCAGCAAGGGUCCCAUGUUUACCUGUGUGUUCCUGGCCACCGUGGUAGUGCCCGCUGUCCACUUCACCACCAGACUCAACUUUGGAGCCUGCUUCAUCUACCAUGCUGGGGUGUCACCUGCCCAGCAGACCCUUGUCAUCACAAACAAGGCAGACAAGGACAUGAGAUAGGCCACCUCCACAUGCUCCUUUGACCCUUGCUUAGCACAUGCCUGAUCCACGUCCUCAUGGCCACUGUGGAUGAA